CCUUGAAACACCGCUUCCCGUACGAUCGCAAAUUUAAGCAGCGUUGAGCCUGAUCAGUAUCUAGAUGGGUUACCGCUUGGGAAUUCCAAGUGCUGUAAG